rnacentral:rRNA from 1 species
CUCCACAUACGCAUCCUUUGCUGAGGAUGCGGUUAACGGAGCGAAAGCGACGUUCAACCGCAAAAGAAGCAGAGGGGGCUUAGUGGUGGGGUGACUGCGUACCUUUUGUAUAAUGGGUCAGCGACUUAUAUUCUGUAGCAAGGUUAACCGUAUAGGGGAGCCGGAGGGAAACCGAGUCUUAAUUGGGCGUUAAGUUGCAGGGUAUAGACCCGAAACCCGGUGAUCUAGCCAUGGGCAGGUUGAAGGUUGGGUAACACUAACUGGAGGACCGAACCGACUAAUGUUGAAAAAUUAGCGGAUGACCUGUGGCUGGGGGUGAAAGGCCAAUCAAACCGGGAGAUAGCUGGUUCUCCCCGAAAGCUAUUUAGGUAGCGCCUCGUGAAUUCAUCUCCGGGGGUAGAGCACUGUUUCGGCUAGGGGGCCAUCCCGGCUUACCAACCCGAUGCAAACUGCGAAUACCGGAGAAUGUUAUCACGGGAGACACACGGCGGGUGCUAACGUCCGUCGUGAAGAGGGAAACAACCCAGACCGCCAGCUAAGGUCCCAAAGUCAUGGUUAAGUGGGAAACGAUGUGGGAAGGCCCAGACAGCCAGGAUGUUGGCUUAGAAGCAGCCAUCAUUUAAAGAAAGCGUAAUAGCUCACUGGUCGAGUCGGCCUGCGCGGAAGAUGUAACGGGGCUAAACCAUGCACCGAAGCU